UUCUUGUAUGUGUGUGGUGUAUGUGAUGUAAUAAUUAGGAAUUAUUAUUAUUUUAUUUUUCGUUGCACAUAUUUAUGAAAUGUGUUCUAACACGCACCCGCAUCAGACAUAACCCGAUAGUUAUUACUCAAAAGCUCAAUCAUUUGAUUCCCCAACAUCAUUAUUUGUUUUCUCAAUUGCAUUUAUUGUAAACUGAAGGGUUUGCAUGUGUAGGAUUAUAAUAAGAUUUCGCACUGUUGAGCAUAUCUUGGGUGAAGCUAUUGAAUGUUGUUAAUUGCUUACAUUUUCAUGCAUGCAUCUUUUUGUUUUACUAAAUUCUUUUUAUGCAUCUGUAUUUCUAUUAAUAUUAGAAAGAAGUUGUGUCUUGUUGAUUAUUUGAAUGAUAUAUUGUUUUUUAUGACUGAAUUGUUCAUUCACAUAUUUCAUGAAUUCUGCUUGUUACUGUCUACACAAGUUUCAAUAUUAGAACUCUUGUCACUGUCAUAUCUACUGGUUGUCAAAUUGUUGGAAAAAUUUCUUGUAAACAUUAUGAUUCACUAUUACUAAUGCCUCACUUUCACUCUAUAGUUUGUAGAAGUUAUCCCUGGAAUAAAACAUAAUCAACUAAUUAGGUACAUGAAACUAAGAGCAUUUAUAUUACAAUUUUUACAAAGUUUCUCUUUACUUUAUGUGAACUAUGAGACGUCUCAACUAGAUAAUUCAAUUUUUGUAUUUUGAUACAUCUAUCUCUUGAUUAGUAAUAUUAAAUUUUUCAUUACUAAAAUCUGGUGAUCCAUAGUGUAUUGAACCUUAGAAGUUUGCAAUAGAAGUUUUUUUCUUGAGAGUGCAUUCAACUAUUGAGAAGGGACUUGAUAAAAGUCAACAAGCAUAUUUAAUCAUUGGUGUACAGAAUAAAGCAAUAGAACUCCAUUCUUUGUGGCAAAGGGCGAAUACGCUCAUCCCCAGAAUAAAACUCCAUUCUUGCUCAAUGCUUGUGAGGAAACUACCCAUUGUGCUUGUAUCCUUUGGUUGCUGAAGAUCAGUGAGAUUCUACUAUGCCAUUUAUGAAGUUGAAGUCCAGCUAUAACUGCUUCCAUAAAUGGGAAGACUUAGAAGCAAUUGCAGAAAUUUCAUCUUCAAAGAAAAAGUGGUACUUUUGGUCAUAUUAGAGAGUUUAAGGAUGGCUAGCAUCAUCUCUUUCACUGUCAGGGGGGCAUUAUUACCAGAAGGAUUCAAUCUAAGGAUGGCUAGUAUCAUAUGGAAGGAUACUCAUAUAUUUCUGAGAAGAUACAAUAUUACUAUAAAAGAUUCAAUCUAAGAAACAAGAUAUUAGAACUAAUAUGUAUGUCUAGUAUGUAGGGUUUUGCUUUUAUAUAGACUUAACAUGGAUCCAAAGUUUGUGGAUCAUGUCUAUAUAUUUUUUGUUUGAAUUGUAUGAUAUAUUUCUGUUCAAUAGU